UGUGUCCAUCUAUGAGGAUCAUUCACUCUUACUGCUGGGACUCACACAUGGCAACGAUGGGACCCUGAAUGAGUUAAGGUGGAUGCAUUGAUGGCCCCUCCUGUACUGCAUUAGAUGGCAUCUGUGUAACCAGCUCAUGAAGUUUGGCAGAACAUGGAGAAAGACAUGAGUAAAGAAGGUGGAUGUGGAACUAAGACUCAGAUCCA
rnacentral:lncRNA from 1 species